rnacentral:misc_RNA from 1 species
GAUGAAGAACGCAGCGAAAUGCGAUACGUAGUGUGAAUUGCAGAAUUCAGUGAAUCAUCGAAUCUUUGAACGCACAUUGCACCUCUCGGUAUUCCGGGAGGUAUGCCAGUUCGAGCGUCAUUUGUACCCUCAAGCUCUGUUUGGUGUUGGGUGUUUGUCCCGCCUCUGUGUGUGAACUCGCCUCAAAACAAUUGGCAGCCGGCGUACUUGUUUCGGAGCGCAGCACAUUUUGCGAUCCAGAUCAACGUACAGCGGCAUCCAAGAAGCCUUAUUUAACGCUCUUGACCUCGGAUCAGGUAGGGAUACCCGCUGAACUUAAGCAUAUCAAUAAGCGGAGGA